UUAUUCAAGCUUAAUUUGAUUUUAAGGUUAGGUUUCUUUGUGCCUUGAUUUGGGAGAUGAACAAAGAACGCCCUCCUGAGCCUCUUGAUUUCUUCAUUUGGACUGUCGAGAGUUCGAAAAUGAUCCUCACCUUUAUGUGUUGAAGCCAACAAAUGAUUUCGUUUCUUUGGGAUGCCCCAAUUCUCCUUUAUGUUUGGUAACAGAGAGAUUUGAGAUGCGAAACCCAUUGCUGAAGGACCUGAGAUUGAAGAAAUAGAUAUGAGUUCUCAGAUUCAUUCAAAUGCUUCAGAUGUCAAAGUUGUUGGUGUCUUCAGAAAGAAAUGUACCAAACUAUAUGAAGCAAGCUUGAAGGAUGAGAAGCCUUUAGAUCAAUGGCUUCAUUGUUAAAUUAAGCAAGUGUUUUAGUAAAUAAAUUUAAUUUUCCCAUCAUGUUUACACCUUCAAAAUAUUAUGUAAAUGACAUUUGAUGUAGAAUUUUGUGUACAAAGGAUAUCUGUUUUGUAUGAUUAUCUGUUUGUAUGGAAUUAUUAUUUUGGGUUGGAUUAUAUUUGAUUUGUAUAGAAUUUGAUGUUAAAA